UACAGAGACUGCAAGCGUUAUUCGGAUUCACUGGGCGUAAAGGGUGCGCAGGCGGCCAAGUGUGAGAGGCGUGAAAGCCUGGAGCUUAACUCCAGAAUUGCACCUCAAACUACUUGGCUAGAGCAUUGGAGAGGGUAGCAGAAUUCAUGGUGUAGCAGUGAAAUGCGUAGAUAUCAUGAGGAAUACCAGAGGCGAAGGCGGCUACCUGGACAAUUGCUGACGCUCAGGCACGAAAGCGUGGGGAGCAAAAGGG
rnacentral:rRNA from 1 species